rnacentral:rRNA from 1 species
GACGAACGCUGGCGGCGUGCUUAACGCAUGCAAGUCGAACGGAAAGGCCCUGCUUUUGUGGGGUGCUCGAGUGGCGAACGGGUGAGUAACACGUGAGUAACCUGCCCUUGACUUUGGGAUAACUUCAGGAAACUGGGGCUAAUACCGGAUAGGAGCUCCUGCUGCAUGGUGGGGGUUGGAAAGUUUCGGCGGUUGGGGAUGGACUCGCGGCUUAUCAGCUUGUUGGUGGGGUAGUGGCUUACCAAGGCUUUGACGGGUAGCCGGCCUGAGAGGGUGACCGGCCACAUUGGGACUGAGAUACGGCCCAGACUCAUACGGGGGGCAGCAGUGGGGAAUAUUGCAAAAUGGGCGGAAGCCUGAUGCAGCAACGCCGCGUGCGGGAUGACGGCCUUCGGGUUGUAAACCGCUUUCGCCUGUGACGAAGCGUGAGUGACGGUAAUGGGUAAAGAAGCACCGGCUAACUACGU